CUCCUGAGGAGAAAGAAAGAGAGGGAGGGAGAGAAAAAGAGAGAGAGAGAAACAAAAAACCAAAGAGAGAGAAAAAAUGAAUUCAUCUAAAUCAUCUGAAACACAAUGCACAGAGAGAGGAUGCUUCUCUUCCCAAAUGUUCUUAUGGACUGUUGCUGGGAUCCCCAUCCUAUUUCUCAGUGCCUGUUUCAUCACCAGAUGUGUUGUGACAUUUCGCAUCUUUCAAACCUGUGAUGAGAAAAAGUUUCAGCUACCUGAGAAUUUCACAGAGCUCUCCUGCUACAAUUAUGGAUCAGGAAUUCCUUUCCUACAAGAAACCUAAAAUGAGAGAGUUUUUUAUUGGACUGUCAGACCAGGUUGUCGAGGGUCAGUGGCAAUGGGUGGACGGCACACCUUUGACAAAGUCUCUGAGCUUCUGGGAUGUAGGGGAGCCCAACAACAUAGCUACCCUGGAGGACUGUGCCACCAUGAGAGACUCUUCAAACCCAAGGCAAAAUUGGAAUGAUGUAACCUGUUUCCUCAAUUAUUUUCGGAUUUGUGAAAUGGUAGGAAUAAAUCCUUUGAACAAAGGAAAAUCUCUUUAAGAACAGAAGGCACAACUCAAAUGUGUAAAGAAGGAAGAGCAAGAACAUGGCCACACC
rnacentral:lncRNA from 10 species